rnacentral:tRNA from 1 species
GGCUGUGUAGCUCAGUUGGCUAGAGCAAUCGGUUCAUACCCGAUAGGUCAGGGGUUCAAAUCCCCUCGCAGCUACCA